rnacentral:rRNA from 1 species
GUGCCAGCAGCCGCGGUAAAACGUAGGAGGCGAGCGUUAUCCGGAAUCACUGGGCGUAAAGGGCGUCUAGGCGGGUUGGUCAGCGAGGUGUGAAAGCUCCCGGCUCAACUGGGAGAGUGCGCUUCGAACUGCCAGCCUUGAGGGAAGCAGAAGGGGGUGGAAUUCCCGGUGGAGUGGUGAAAUGCGUAGAUAUCGGGAGGAACACCAGUGGCGAAAGCGGCCCCCUAGGCUUAACCUGACGCUGAAGCGCGAAAGCGUGGGGAGCAAACGGGAUUAGAUACCCCGGUAGUCCACGCCGUAAACGAUGGUGACUAGGUGUGGGGAGCGUACAGCAUCCUCGUGCCGCAGCCAACGCGAUAAGUCACCCGCCUGGGGAGUACGGCCGCAAGGCUAAA